GUCAAUUUAAUCCAUUUUAGAAUAAGGUGCCAACGUAACAAAAUGUGGGAAAAGUCAAGGGGUCAGAAUACUUUCCAAAUGCACUGUGUAUAGUGCACUACAUGGGAAGUAGGGUGCAAUUUGGAACGGACCCUACUUUGUCUUAGCUAAAAAUGAUUUCGCUGGGUAGUGAAGUUUUAGUAACGCAUUCAGAAGAAGUGUGCAAAGAGCUUUUGUCCGCAUGUCCAUCAGCUGUUAAAUGGCGGUCCUAGAAGUCUGAACUCAAGAGUUUGAUAUCACACCAUUUUUAUUACAUGAAUGUCACUUUUGAUUUGUCUUGCCUUCCGGGGUAAAAACCCACUUGGUCAAUAUUAUUUUCUGGAUCUACUACAUGGACCUAUCUCAUUGUUAUUACAUGAUUAGAGAUCUGUUUUGUUUUGUUACACCCACCAUGCAUCAUGUCCGCGAUGGUCAUGUGAGGUGAAAUGUGUAUUUUUUGGGGGAUGUGAGCACUCAGUUUGUUUUGACCUGGCGAAGAUCUGUUUAGGAUCGAAGCGUUGUCCAUAAUGAAUGAAUUGGCAGCUUUAACAGUGUGCGGGCGUUCUUCUUCUGUACCAGUAAUCUUUUAUUAGCCCAGCGCCUGUGUUUUUAAGUAUGUGCGUAUGAACAUAAAAUAAAAUGACUAUUGAUGA